rnacentral:rRNA from 1 species
UAAGGAAUAUUGGACAAUGGGGGAAACCCUGAUCCAGCCAUGCCGCGUGAAUGAAGAAGGCCUUAGGGUUGUAAAGUUCUUUUAGAUGUGAAGAUAAUGACGGUAGCAUCAGAAAAAGCUCCGGCUAACUCCGUGCCAGCAGCCGCGGUAAUACGGAGGGAGCGAGCGUUGUUCGGAAUUACUGGGCGUAAAGGGUGCGCAGGCGGCCUGAUAAGUCAGAAGUGAAAGCCCUGGGCUCAACCCAGGAAUUGCUUUUGAAACUGUCAGGCUAGAGUAUUGGAGAGGUUGGCGGAAUUCCCAGUGUAGAGGUGAAAUUCGUAGAUAUUGGGAGGAACACCAGUGGCGUAAGCGGCCAACUAGACAAUUACUGACGCUCAGGCACGAAAGCGUGGGGAUCAAACAGGAUUAGAUACCCCAGUAGUCCCUGAGCGGGCUGGCAAGGCGCAU